AGUAGGAAGUCACAAAAACAUUUUUUUUUUUAAAUCUUGACAAAAGUGGCAUUUUAAUUGAACUUCAAUAUAUGUUUUUCACAUUGAACAUAAAAAACAAUCAACUUUUUCAUUUAGUGGUAUAUAAAUAGCAGGGAAUUCCAUCAGUAUGUAAAUCUCACUGGGGAAAUACCCUAGUUUUUAGUACGAAACUGUUUAUAGCACCCU
rnacentral:lncRNA from 1 species